rnacentral:rRNA from 1 species
CGUGUAACGGAGAAUUAGGGUUCGAUUCCGGAGAGGGAGCCUGAGAAACGGCUACCACAUCUACGGAAGGCAGCAGGAGCGAAAAUUGCCCAAUCCUGACACGGGGAGGCAGUGACAAGAAAUAACAACUCUAGGUUAUUCUUAGAAGUGUAAUGAGGAUAAUUUACAACCCUUACCGAAAGCAAUUGGAGGGCAAGUCUGGUGCCAGCAGCCGCGGUAAUUCCAGCUCCAAUAGCGUAUAUUAAAGUUGUUGCAGUUAAAAAGCUCGUAGUUGAAAUUCUGGCUGCUCGGUCCUCGAGCUCUGUAGCCGAGGAAUCGACAGUCAUCCGCUUGCAAAUAUAGUUCGCCUUUAACCGGGUGGCUAUAUGAGUAAGCAUUUUACCUUGAGAAAAACAGAGUGUUCCAGGCAGGUUUGUCCGGAAUGCAUUAGCAUGGAAUAAUAGAAUAUGACUGAAGUCUAUUUAUUGGUUUAAGGCUUUAGUAAUGAUUAAUAGGAACAGUCGGGGGCAUUGGUACUUGUCAGUCAGAGGUGAAAUUCUAGGAUUUGACAAAGACUAACAAAUGCGAAAGCAUUUGCCAAGGAUGUUUUCAUUAAUCAAGAACGAAAGUUAGGGGAUCAAAGACGAUCAGAUACCGUCCUAGUCUUAACUAUAAACUAUACCGACUCGGAUUCGGAUGAAUCAAAAAGUUCAUUCGGGACCGUAGGAGAAAUCAAAGUUUUUGGGUUCUGGGGGAAGUAUGGUCGCAAGGCCGAAACUUAAAGGAAUUGACGGUUUUGCACCACCAUGGAGUGGAGUCUGCGGCUUAAUUUGACCCAACACUGGGAAACUCAUCAGGGCAAGAAGAUUUUAGGAUUGACAGAUUGAGAGUUCUUUCUUGAUUGGUCUAGUGGUGGUGCAUGGCCGUUCUUAGUUGGUGGAGUGAUUUGUCUGGUUAAUUCCGUUAACGAACGAGACCUUAACCUGCUAACUAGUACACUGAUGACAAAUCAGUGUUACUUCUUAGAGGGACUAUGUGAUGUAAUCACAUGGAAGUUUGAGGCAAUAACAGGUCUGUGAUGCCCUUAGAUGUCCUGAGCUGCACGCGUACUACAAUGGUGCUUUCAACGAGCUUUUCCUGAUCCGAAAGGAUUUAGGUAAUCUUUUUAGUGAGCACCGUGCUUGGGAUAGAUCUUUG